rnacentral:rRNA from 1 species
GAGGCAGCAGUGGGGAAUAUUGCACAAUGGGCGGAAGCCUGAUGCAGCGACGCCGCGUGGGGGAUGACGGCCUUCGGGUUGUAAACUCCUUUCGACAGGGACGAAGCGCAAGUGACGGUACCUGUAUAAGAAGCACCGGCUAACUACGUGCCAGCAGCCGCGGUAAUACGUAGGGUGCGAGCGUUGUCCGGAAUUACUGGGCGUAAAGAGCUCGUAGGUGGUUUGUCGCGUCGUCUGUGAAAUUCCGGGGCUUAACUCCGGGCGUGCAGGCGAUACGGGCAUAACUUGAGUGCUGUAGGGGAGACUGGAAUUCCUGGUGUAGCGGUGAAAUGCGCAGAUAUCAGGAGGAACACCGAUGGCGAAGGCAGGUCUCUGGGCAGUUACUGACGCUGAGGAGCGAAAGCAUGGGUAGCGAACAGGAUUAGAUACCCUGGUAGUCCAUGCCGUAAACGGUGGGCGCUAGGUGUAGGGGGCUUCCACGUCUUCUGUGCCGUAGCUAACGCAUUAAGCGCCCCGCCUGGGGA